rnacentral:lncRNA from 1 species
UGUUGGUGAAGGAUGGUAUGGCUUCACUGGUGGCGGUGGUGACUUGUAAACUGGUGCAGGAUGAUACGGUGUUGGUGAAGGGUGGUAUGGCUUCUUGGGUGGUGGUGGUGACUUGUAAACGGGAGCUGGUGGUGGUGGCGACUUGUAAACUGGUGUGUGUGGAGGGUAGUAUGGCUUCUUGGGUGGUGGUGGUGACUUGUAAACUGGAGUUGGUGGUGGUGGUGACUUGUAAACCGGGGUGUGUGGAGGGUAGUAUGGCUUCUUGGGUGGUGGUGGCGACUUGUAAACUGGAGUUGGUGGUGGUGGAGACUUAUAAACCGGGGUGUGUGGAGGGUAGUAUGGCUUCUUGGGUGGUGGUGGCGACUUGUAAACUGGAGUCGGUGGUGGUGGAGAUUUGUAAACAGGGGUGUGUGGAGGGUAGUAUGGUUUCUUGGGUGGCGGCGGUGACUUGUAAACCGGAGUUGGUGGUGGUGGCGACUUGUAAACUGGGGUGUGUGGAGGGUAGGAUGGCUUCUUGGGUGGUGGUGGUGACUUGUAAACGGGAGUUGGUGGUGGUGGCGACUUGUAAACCGGGGUGUGUGGAGGAUAGUGUGGCUUCUUGGGUGGUGGUGGUGACUUGUAAACUGGAGUUGGUGGUGGUGGAGAUUUAUAAACGGGUGCAGGAUGAUAUGGUGUUGGUGAAGGGUGGUAUGGCUUCUUAGGUGGCGGUGGAGACUUAUAUACAGGGUGGUGGGGUGGUGAUGGAUAGACAUGCACUGGUGGAAGAGGAGACUUGUAGAGGUAUGGUUUCUUAGGUGGUGGUGGAGAUGAGUAUUGAUAAUUUGCUGAGCUUUCAGAAGCUAAGCUAAGUGACACUAAAAC